GCAAAACUUAAUUUUUUCCACAAGAUUUAAAAAAAAUUUUUUACUUUAGAAAGUACUUUUUAAAAAAUUACUUAAUUUAAUUAACCGCAAGGGCUCACACUCAGCUUCUUUAAGAAAUGAUAAUCUCAUGUCCCUUUUGCAUCAUGGAGAAGCAACAAAACUUUAUUAAAUAUACACUCCCGAAUGACUAUGAGCUACUAAUAAUUAAAAACCAAUGUUUCAUAAUUGGUAAAGUAACUUUUAGUAGAAGUGACAAGCUUUUCAUAUAGUCGUAUAGCUGGUUUUUCUUUAAAAGCAUCAAAGUGCUGGCUUAUAGGGUAAAUCAAUACUCUAACCUAUAAAGCUUAACCUAUUGAGGAUUAGCUCAAUAGGACAUUUUAAAAUACUUUACUUCCUAACUAAAUAAGUAGGCUUAAAAACAGCCGUCUAAUAGCGUUUUAGUUACAUACAUGUAAUAUCAAAUAUUUAUGCUCCGCAUUUUAAACUCAAAGAAAUUUAACAAAAAAUUUACUUGCUAUUAAACAGGCAUUCUAUUAGUAUUUAGUAUAAAUCACUAUCCAAGGUUUUUAAAAAAUUUGGAUUAAAACACUCUAUAAUAUGUUAAUUAUGUAAAACGAACUCGGCAAAUCAGUUCCCUGCCUGUUUACCAAAAACAUCGUCUUCUGAAAAAUCUCUUAAUAAAAGAUAAUGCCUGCCCAGUGAAAAUUUUAAACGGCCGCGUUAACUUGAGCGUGCUAAGGUAGCGUAAUAAUUAGCCUCUUAAUUGGAGGCCAGUGAAAGGCAAGACUAGGAACACCUUUACUUUGCAUAUGAAAAAAACUUUUCAUCUAAGCGAAAAAUCUUAGAUAAUAAAGGUAGACGAAAAGACCCCGCGGAGCUUUACCUUUUCUCGUACUACUGUAUAGUACCUCAAGUACUUAAGGUUUGAUUGGGGCAAUCUCGGAACCAAUAAAGCUUCCGAUUCUUUAAAAACUCUAUUUAAAAUUUGUUAAGGACAAAAAAGAAGUUACCCCGGGGAUAACAGCGUAAUCCAACUCAAGAGUACAUAUCGAAAGUUGGGUUUGCGACCUCGAUGUUGGCUUAAGAAUAUCCACAUAAGUGCAACCGCUAUGACAGGAUAGUCUGUUCGACUAUUAUACUCUUACACGAGCUGAGUUAAGACCGGCGCAAGCUAGGUUGGUUUCUAUCUCCUUUAACCUAAAAAUCUUCUUAAUUGUACGAAAGGACCCUAAGAGCUGCAUCUAACAAAGCAUUUCCUUAAGUUAUCUUUAUUUUACAAAAACUAACUAUACCCACUACCCACU
rnacentral:rRNA from 1 species